CCUACGGGUGGCAGCAGUGAGGACUAUUGGUCAAUGGACGAGAGUCUGAACCAGCCAAGUAGCGUGAAGGAUGACUGCCCUAUGGGUUGUAAACUUCUUUUAUAUGGGAAUAAAAUGUUCCACGUGUGGGAUUUUGUAUGUACCAUAUGAAUAAGGAUCGGCUAACUCCGUGCCAGCAGCCGCGGUAAUACGGAGGAUCCGAGCGUUAUCCGGAUUUAUUGGGUUUAAAGGGAGCGUAGGUGGAUUGUUAAGUCAGUUGUGAAAGUUUGCGGCUCAACCGUAAAAUUGCAGUUGAAACUGGCAGUCUUGAGUACAGUAGAGGUGGGCGGAAUUCGUGGUGUAGCGGUGAAAUGCUUAGAUAUCACGAAGAACUCCGAUUGCGAAGGCAGUUCACUGGACUGCAACUGACACUGAGGCUCGAAAGUGUGGGUAUCAAACAGGAUUAGAUACCCGAGUAGUC
rnacentral:rRNA from 1 species